AGAUCCGUGCAUUUCGGAAAUCGGAAAUGUGAAUGCUAGUGUGCAUUGCUGAAUGCUGAUUCGGGGCACAGGACAUGAUACAAGAUGUCAAGAUGAUAGGAAAUUGUUUCUGCCUUGUAGUGCUUAGAGAACAUAGAGUCCUUUCAAGUAGUUCAUGCAUGGUUGAAUUCAGGAACAUGGACGACCUUUUUUCCCUUUUUUUUUGCGGUUAGGAACAUGCAGAUCUUUACUAAGUUGAAAAUAGCUGCAACUUUGCUGGUACCUCCCAAUAGUUAAAUGUUACAUUGGCCAUCCCACAUGUGUUCUCUUGUGAUCUUUACAGGGGAAUGCGUUGAAGCAAACAUGACCCAACAAUACGAUACAUCAAAAAGGCCAGUUUUGUGUUUUGAUUGCAGGCUAAAAUCAGUUAUUUACGUCAAGGAAUCCAUAAAAUUCCCAUUCUCGGAGAUUCAAGCUGCAACUUAUGAUUUCUCAAAAGAGAACUUGUUGGGUGAGCGUGGUUUUGGGCAUGUGUACAGGGGCCAUCUGAACAAUGGUGAGCUCACAUUGCAGCCAAGCUGCGCAAGGAGGCAAGUUUAGAGGGCUAUACCGAGUUCGUUACUGAAGUGCAAGUACUCAGCUUUGCCCGGCACCGAAAUAUUGUUGGACACUUGGACUGCUUGGCUAUUGCUGCAAAGAGACCUAUAACAUCUUGGUGUACGAGUAUAUAUGCAACAAUUCCCUGGAGUGGCACUUAUUUGGUGUGUUGUUCAGUUGAUAUGCAUAUUCAAUACAUACUGAGAAGAUGGUGCAGAUUUAUUAGUUUGCUAUUGUUUUUUUUAUGAAACAAUUAGUUUGCUAUUGUUACUUGGUGAAACAGCUCAGUCCGCAAGCUCACUAGAGUGGCACAAGAGGCAUGCAAUUGCCAUAGGUAUAGCAAAAGGCCUGUGCUUCCUACAUGAGGAGUGCCACGCUGGUCCAAUCAUCCAUCUGGAUUUGCAACCAAGCAAUGCACUGUUGACACAUGACUUGUACUUAUGCUUGGGGACUUUUGGUUUUGCAAAAUGGAAGGCUUGCGAUGAUUCCACAAAGACAAUGAUUCUGGGGCAACCAGGAUACUGUGGGCGCCUGAGUUAUGCUGAAUAUGGUCGUAAGGUGCUUGAUGAACACAAAGGACGCUGCACACAUAUAUUGCAAUGGGCAGAGCCGUUGUUUGAGAGCCUUGCACUUAUGAACUAGUAGAUGACCGCAUCAAAGAUACAUAUGAUACUUUUGGGUUGUAUCAUCUAGCCAGAGCUGCGUAUAUUUGUGUCAGGACAAUUCCAGAGCAACGUCCUUCUUUCUAUGGGAGAGGAUGGUUUGGUAAACUCAACACAUGUAAUAGCAAUAAUAAGUUUAUAAUCACCGUAUCUCUUUCUCUCU